GAUGAAGAACGCAGCGAAAUGCGAUAAGUAAUGUGAAUUGCAGAAUUCAGUGAAUCAUCGAAUCUUUGAACGCACCUUGCGCUCUUUGGUAUUCCGAAGAGCAUGCCUGUUUGAGUGUCAUGAAAAUAUCAACCUUGACUUGGGUUUUGUGCUCUAGUCUCGGCUUGGAAUUGGGUGCUUGCCGCUUUUACGAGCGGCUCACCUUAAAUGUAUUAGCUGGAUCUGUCUUUGUGACUUGGUUUGACUUGGCGUAAUAAGUAUUUCGCUAAGGACAUUCUUCGGAGUGGCCUCGUUUCUAGGACGCUUGUCCGCUUUCCAAUACAAGUUCCACCUCGUGGACAUGACUUUUUAUUAUCUGGCCUCAAAUCAGGUAGGACUACCCGCUGAACUUAAGCAUAUCAAUAAGCGGAGGA
rnacentral:misc_RNA from 1 species